UAGAUGCGAGAGUAGAGCAUAUCAAUAAGCGGAGGAAAAGAAACUAACAAGGAUUCCCCUAGUAACGGCGAGUGAAGCGGGAAGAGCUCAAAUUUGAAAUCUUCAAGGUUUGACCUUGACGAAUUGUAGUUUAAAGAAGUGUUUUCGGUUAGAGGAGUAGUAAAAGUUCUUUGGAAUAGGACAUCAUAGAGGGUGAGAAUCCCGUAUUUGACUAUUCUUUCUAGCUUUGUGAUACACUUUCAAAGAGUCGGAUUGUUUGGGAAUGCAGUCCAAAAUGGGUGGUAAAUUUCAUCUAAAGCUAAAUAUUGGCGAGAGACCGAUAGCGAACAAGUACCGUGAGGGAAAGAUGAAAAGAACUUUGAAAAGAGAGUUAAACAGUACGUGAAAUUGUCAAAAGGGAAGCGUUUGACACCAGUGUUGUUUUUCCGAAAAUCAAUUAAAAAUUGAUUCAUGCUAGGUUGUAUUGACCUCAUCAGCUUGCAAUUUAGUUUUGGCAGGUCUUUCUUGAUGCACUUUUCGGUUAACAAGUCAACAUCAAUUUCCUUUGUUGUAAAAGGGUUAAGAGGAAGGUGGCUUUACUUUCGGGUAAAGUGUUUAUAGCCUUUUAACUCUGCAAUCGGAGAGAUUGAGGUCUGCAGCGUAGAUCCUUCGGGGUUAGAUACAUUUGUGCUAAGUUAUAGCUUUUCAUAGACAACUUGUUGACUAUGUUAAGUCUUGUAAUUUGCUCGCAGAUGCUAUUUUACCUACGCUUAGGAUGUUGACACACGCGCGUGCUCG
rnacentral:rRNA from 1 species